rnacentral:rRNA from 1 species
GAUGAACGCUCGCGGCAGGCCUAAUACAUGCAAGUCGGACGGGAUUCAGGAGCUUGCUUCUGAUGAGAGUGGCGCACGGGUGCGUAACACGUAUGUAACCUACCUUUAUCAGGGGGAUAGCCUCUCGAAAGAGAGAUUAAGCCCGCAUAAAAUCACAGCACAGCAUUGUGUAAUGAUCAAAUAUUUAUAGGAUAAAGAUGGGCAUGCGGAACAUUAGCUAGAUGGCGGGGUAACGGCCCACCAUGGCGACGAUGUUUAGGGGAUCUGAGAGGAUGGCCCCCCACACUGGUACUGAGACACGGACCAGACUCCUACGGGAGGCAGCAGUAAGGAAUAUUGGUCAAUGGGCGGAAGCCUGAACCAGCCAUGCCGCGUGCAGGAAGACGGCCCUACGGGUUGUAAACUGCUUUUAUACGGGAAUAAACCCAGAUACGUGUAUCUGGCUGAAUGUACUGUAAGAAUAAGAAUCGGCUAACUCCGUG